CUCGUGCUGAUAUUUGUGUGCAUACAUCGACAUACUUCUCCGAGAUACUUUUUAGCCUAAUUGGAGGGUCAACUGAUUAGUAGAGCUUUAUAUCCAGGAUGCACCCUUAAUUUACAGUUAACAACCAUAUAGUUUGGAAUCCCUUAUUUGCUAUUUUCACAUGCUGAAAUUUGCAUUUCAUGCAUUCUGUCCUUAUUUUUCUCAUUGCAUUUCCAAAUGGGAAGAAAUCAUUAACAGUUACCUGGCUUGCUGUAUCAUAUAAUGUCGUUGUACUAACCACAGAUACUAUUGCUGUCAUUGUGUUGGUUCAUCAUAAACUUCCUGCUUUGGCUUGCCUAUCGAGUCUUUCAUUAUCAGAUUAUCCUGCAGAAUUGGUAUUACCUUUCCAAAACUCUGGCAGAACGUGAGGCUUUUGCUUAUGCAGCAAAAACGGGGCUGGAUGUUGUAACUAUUUGCCCAUCUUUGGUAUUCGGACCCUUGAUGCAGCCUACAAUAAAUACCAGCAGUAAAGUCCUCCUUAAUUAUAUUAAAGGUAGUGUAAUAAUAUGGUAUCUUAGUUUCUAUUUCUUCAUAUUCAGUUAAAUAAUUAAAAUGAUAAUCUAUCCAACGGUGUUUGUCUAUCACUUAUUUCUGAUUAUUCAUAAAGCAUAUUGAUUGAUAGCUGGAAGGAACUUUAUCUACUUAGGAUCAAGAUGUUCAGUUUACCAACUUAAUGCAGUUUAGUGCUUUCUUUUGGAAGUAAAUACAUUUCUUCUGCAGGAGAUCGUGACGCCAUUGAAAAUAGAAUCAGAAAUAUUGUGGAUGUUCGCGAUGUUGCUGAUGCUCUUCUUCUGGCAUACGAAAAAUCAGAGGCAUCUGGACGAUACAUCUGCUGUUCACCUCCAAUAAAAGUUUCUGAUAUAAUAAACAUAUUGAAGAACUUAUAUCCAACUUAUCCUUAUCCCAAAAAGUAAGUCUCCUCCUCUGAAAUGGAUUUGUUGUCUCCUACAUGUAAGCGAACAGUUUCAUCCCUCUCUUAACUCCAAUAGCUGUUCUUUUAUCUGCACAUCUAUAACAUACGAACGGCAUAACAAACAAGAGAACGUUGAUAACAUGCAGAUGACUUGUCAACCAAUAAAAUUCCACUGUUUCAUGUUAUGGCAGUUCCUUAAUUUGUUGUGUAACUUCACCAUUAGGCACGGUAGAAACAGGUCCUUCAUAUUGAUUUAAUACUUGCAUGCAUGCACAAAAUUGAGUGAGCUUGGAUUUUAAAAUCUGAAUGUUUUGGUGAACCACUGAAUUCCUGUUCAUAUUGUUCUUCCUUUCAGUUUUACACUCCCUUGAUGCGGUUGGAACUUAUUGUUUCCGUUUUUGAUGUUUUGUAGCUUCGUGGAAGUGGAAGAGAACUCAGUUUUUAGUUUCGAGAAACUUCAGAAGCUAGGAUGGACCUUCAGGCCUAUAGAGGAAACCCUCCGUGACAGCAUCAAAUCCUACAAAGCAUUUGGCUUUCUGAACUGAGCAUCCAGCUAGCUCUGAAUUGAGCUUCCAACUGGGAUUGUUUCCUCUGCUGUUACCUCCAAACUCAUGCUAAAUAAUCUAAACAGUGAAAAAGCAGCUCCAUCACUAUAAUACAUCUUGAUUAAUGUAAACAGUGAAACAGAAGGUAUUGUUUGCGACAAAUUCAAGAAUGGAAUCAUACGGGAGCAAGAGGUUCAGCACUGUAUUUUCCAGCCUGUUUUAUCUUGAAUUCUUGAUGGUCCGGACCAAGUAUGUAGGCCUGGUGUUGACAACUAUUAUGACUUGUAAUGUUAUCAUUGCCAGGAAUAUAGGUGAUUCCUGCUAAUACAUAUAAUCAGACUGCUUGCUAUACAUAUGAAUAGACUGUCCAUCUAGUUGAAAUCAGGGAUUAGAUUCACUCCGGACCUAUAGGUAUUUCGUGGCCUGGCACAUAACCUGUCAAUAUUCGCGCUCCGGCCUCCAGGUUGGUCCUAAAAGCCUCCAUUGGAAUACUACUGAAUCUUGCUGCUUCAACCCCAAAAAUUCAGACAUAUACUGUCUAUAAUCAUAGGCACCAAAAUUGACUUCUAUAGCUUCAACUUCAAUGAAAUGAUCCCAUCUCCCACAUUAUGAUUGAGGACUGUUUUUCUUUUAAAAAAUACAAAUAAAGAGACAUUGAACUGUGUCGUGCAAAACUCGUGAGAUUUGAAAUUCUCACAACCUCAAAAGUUUUGAGUACCCCUUGCUGAAACUAGAAAAAAAAUUUGUGUUGAAAAUAGAAGUUGUUGGUAGAACUACUCCGGUAAGAGGUAGAAGGGUAUCUGAAAAGGAGAGUACCAGUUUUGCAAAAAAAAAAAAAAGAAAGAAACGAAGAGUACCAAAACAGAGGUUAAACUCGACGCCUAGACCUCUCUGGACUUGUUGCCAGGCAGUGGACUCGGCCGUUCCCUUCUUCGGUGGCAGUGGUAGAGCGUGAACCAAAAAUAUAGAGGGGGCUAAUUUACCAACUUCAAAUCAAUAUAUAUAAAAGUUUCAUAGAAAUCUAAAUCAAUAUAUAUAAAAGUUUCAUAGAAAUCUCUUAAUAGGAUUCAUGUACCAAAAGAAGGCUGGCCAGUGUGGCCACGUCGCUUGCUGUUCCCGGUCGUCGGAUUGGCCUGGCGGACGGCCCAGAUCCUAUGAGUUCCGGUCAUUUUGCAAAAAGCUCUCGAACUUUAGAUAAAUCAACCAGCAGUCCAGCCUCUUCCCUUAGGUAAUUUUGCAAAAAACUAACAACUUUUAUCAAAAUCAACCCGCGGUCCAACCUUCCCGAUUUAGAGAAUUUGCAGAGAAAAUCUUAAAUUUUCAGAAAAUCAACAUCCUGGUCGUCUCUCAGAAAUGAUUUAGAAAAACCCACGGAUUUUAAUUAAAUUAAACCUCAACUCAUUCCAUCUGUUGCUUCUACACGAGCAACAUUACAAUUUGAACACCAAAACACGUUGAAAUCAAAAGUUGUUCAAUAUAGAAUUUGAUCAAAAAUCCAAAACUACAACUUCAUUAUAAAGCAAAUUUUAAAAUUCAAAACGCUUUCACAAUUCGUUUGCACAAAUGCUUGCAUGCGAUCCGUCGUACCUAUAAUAUGGACACCAAAACGUCUUCAAAUUAAAAAGUGUUCAAUACAAAAGUUGCUUAGGAUUUCAAAAUCUACAGCUUUAUUAUAUAGUAAUUUAAAAGUGUUCAAUACAAAAGUUGCUCAGGAUUUCAAAAUAUACAGCUUUACAAUUUUAAAUUCAAAAUGCUUUUAGAAUUUAUCCACAUAAAUGUUUACGUAAGAUCCAUUCUACAUCCAUUCUACCUACGAUUCAGACACCAAAACAUCUUUACGUCAAAAAAUUUUAAAUACAAAAAUUGCUCAAAAUUUCAGAACCAAAAGCUUUUGCUACACAACAAAUUUUUAAAAUAAAUGACAACCAAAAAUACUAUAACCAAAAACACUAAAUAUAACAAAAAAAGAUAGUUCCAUUCCCACGCAAAAAUAAUAUCCUACUUAAAUAGUAGUGUCACGAUAAUAGAGAGUCCAAAAUAUACAUCAACUACAACAACAGGCUGCAUAUCAUGAUUCCUAAGUAUACAAUAAUUGCUACUCUGUGCAUGAACUAAAAUCUGUAUCAACUACAGUUUGACGACACGAAAUACGGGUCCUACGCGGCAAAGCCUCGCGCGUUUCUAGUAAGUUUUGAUUGAUGAACUACUGGUAACUAUGUUACACUUAAGAAACUACAAGUGACCGUAGCCUAUUGUCAGUAGAGACCUAUCACCGUAUCAUACUAUCAUAUUAGUAUAUAUAUACACACAAAAAGAUAAGUAAUCAGUAUAACUAGCACUUGUUAAAAGUUCUCCCUUCUUUUCUUCAUAGCUAUAGUCUCCUGCUAUUUUUCCUUCCAUGUGUACUACCAAACUAUUGGUAAGAAAUUCGUCUUUCAUCUUGUUUCAUAAUCUUGUCUUAGUGAUCUUCAAGAUAGAAAAAGCACGCUAGCGCUAGCCAUUGAAACUAGAAGAGUAAUAAGAAGCAACCGAAGCAAUCUAUCAAUCAUGUUCAAAUUCAUAUAACGUCCAAUGGCAACAAGGCGUCAGCAUAGCUCAGCUAUGGUUGCAAUAUUUUUCAGCUCUUCACUUGCGUGUUGAGCGGACUACGACUUUGUAUAUUGAAUGGAUUGCAGAGCUCUCUGCUCUUCUCUUCAAAAAGUUUGGUGGGGGGGAGGGGGGGGGGGGAUCUCUAUGGCCCUACAAUGCUCCGCCAGUGUUCGGUGGUAGCAUGGAGUUUCUAAGUUAAAAAAUAUCUUUUAUUUCUCUAUCUAGCCAUCCCACGUACUCUCUAUUUUCUAUUUUAUAUUGGUACAAUAUUAAGAAGGACCUUGCUUAUUAUUUUAUUCAUUCCGAUUUCUCAAUUUCGAUAUUAUCAUAUACAUACAUCAUUCCUUUUUCAAGAAAAAUUACUUUACACGGAAAUCGAACAACCAUCUAUACUAUUUUCAAAAUAUCAACCGAUUUCUCAAUUUCGAUAUUAUCAUAUACAUACAUCAUUCCUUUUUCAAGAAAAAAUUACUUUGCACGGAAAUCGAACAACCAUCUAUACUCUUUUCAAAAUAUCAACUAACUAUUAAAAAGAAUACUUUAAUUUUAAAAAUAGGACUAUAAAAAAAGAACGCAGGAUUAUCACAUAUCUUUGCCAAACCAGAGUUCCAAGGAACCUUAAAAAAAGAGUUGGGAAAAUUUACAACCGGAUAUCAUUAAAAAAAUACUUUUUACUCUGACCAUUAAAAAUGAGGAUCUUCGCCAGAAGAUAUUAUAGAACUAUGUAUAUUUGCUGAGAGACUGACAUUAUAACCUAUGAAAUAAUAUUUUCACUUUGAUCACACAAAACUUAAAUCUGGACAACUCCCCCUCCCUCCGGCCAGCAUAUCCACGAGACCACAACAUGCACCCGUGCCUUGUGGCUGCGGGCCCUUGCAGCAGAGGCACCACGCAACGCAAGGCCCUGCCACGCACAGCACAAAACGGAAGAGAGAGCGGAGGAGAGAGACAGAGAGAACGAGAGAGAAAUCGGAAGAGAGAGAAAAAGGAGAGACAGCAGCACCGGUGGUACUCAUCAGCGGCAGCAGCUACCUCGGAGCGCAGCCCCCACCAGCCACCGCUCCUCACGUUCGCAUCACAGCCGCGUCUCCCCGCGCGCUGGGCUCUACUGGUGCUCGCUCGCUGAGUCGCUGGCCGCGGCCGGCGUCGGAGCCAGUUCAGCUCCAGCCGAUUCGACCGUGGGAGCUGUUGUUGCUGCCGCCAGGAGGGGUCUCCGCUGGGGCGCGGUGCUACUCGCCGGUACUCUCCGGCGCUCCGGCAAGAGCCGCAGCUGGGCGUGGUCGCCACCAGGAGGCAGGAGAGGCCGCACACUGGGAAGCGAAGCGCGCCGCCGCCUGGAGUUCGCGGCAGGAUAAGGCGUGCAAACGGUUUCGCGGGAGGAAUCGGCGUGCGAUGGGAUAAGGUAAGCAGGGGCAGACCUGUCAUUCCAUCUCCAAAUAAACUGAAUAAAAUAGUGAGUACAAUGUCUCCCACCAAACACAGAAAUUUCAGAAUUUAGGAUCAUAUACGAGCGCCUUUCAGGAUUUGGACCCAAUUCGCCUGCCUUUUAGAAUUUGACCCCAUCUCACGAAUUAUUUGAGUUUAGGUGUUUUCCAUCUAUUUUCUCAAUUUUGCCUGUUUUUCCUUUUCUUUUUCUUUCCCAGCCCACCUGAAAUUCCAAUCUUGCCCCUGCCCCUCACGAUAAAAAAAAUUCAGAUAUCACAGGUGUUGGGAGCUUCCCCAAGUCUUUUUCUAAAGAUAACAUGGUGUAACAGCGAUAGUCUACAAUCUAUUCAUAGCAUUUUCGAGGCACAUCAACAGAGCUACCAUCAUCCAUCUUUGCUAAACUGAGAAAUCUGGACCGACAAUCUAAACGCAGCAUCCGGAUCAAUCCUACCGCAAUCCUACCGCGUACCAAGAAAAAAACAAGUACAUGGAUCAGUAAGUUCAAUCCUAAUCGAUAUUUUUCUUCACGGAUGCGCCCUUCCCCCCAAAUCGAACCAAACUGAAACUAUACAGAACCCGGCCAGGAGAGUGAUUAGGGAGGCCUUACCCGGGAGGCACAUCAGUGGGAUCCAUGGUGUCCGUUCAGCCUGUUCCGACCGCCCGCAUCUGCUGGUUGCGUUCCUCCCCAGGAACCUAGCGGCGGCGCAAGAACGAGCGAGAGGAGAGAGGGACGAAAGAGAGGAGCUGCCUGGUGGCCGGUGGCCUGAUUCAAUCGUGAGGAGAUAAGGUGCCAAGCGGCAGGGGCAAGGUUGGAAUUUCAGGUGGGCUGGGAAAGAAAAAGAAAUGGGAAAAGAGGCAAAAUUGAGAAAAUAGAUGGAAAACACCUAAAAUGAAACAAUACGUGAGACGGGGGUCAAAUUCUGAAAGGCACGUGAAUUGGGUCCAAAAUCCUGAAAGGUGCUCGUAUUUGAUCCCAGAUUCUGAAAUUUCUCCACCAAAUAUACAUGAUUUUAU
rnacentral:lncRNA from 1 species